rnacentral:misc_RNA from 1 species
GAAAUAUUCAAUAUAAAUUGCUGUUGAAUUGGCAGUAAAUAAUGGUAUCACCUUGUAAAAUUUCUUGCCUAUACCAAGGUGUAUAAAUACCCAACCAAUGAAAAACUAUCUACAUGUAUUUUUAAUUGUAACCUACCAUAAUUUUAAUUAAAAUGAUAAUUAUUAAUUGAUUAGAUGCAUACGACUGAAAAAAUAACUCUUAUUGACCCUAAUUAAACACGAGGCUAACUUAUC